GUUCAUGAUGAGGUGAAAGACAAAGCCUUUGAGCUGGAGCUUAGCUGGGUUGGAGAAGUCACAAAAGGAAAGCACGAGCUUGUCCCCAAAGACAUCAAAGAGGAAGCUGAGAAAUAUGCUAAAGAAUCCCUGGAGGAGGAGGAUGACUCUGAUGAGGACAACAUGUAAACAGCAUUGCAAACCUGUUUUGCCAUUUCACUGACUGUGUACUAGGUUUCAGACAUCCUGGCAACUCUCAACUUCACUGCAGACAAUAAAAUGUUUUUUUAUGUUUUGUAAUGGACUAAUGUAGUCCUAUGUUUUCCUUUCAGACUUAACAAUAAAUACGAUUUAUAAAAGAGA